rnacentral:rRNA from 1 species
AAAAAUCCCGACUUUGGAAGGGAUGUAUUUAUUAGAUUAAAAACCAAUGCCCUCUGGGCUCCUUGGUGAUUCAUGAUAACUUUUCGAAUCGCACGGCCUUGCGCCGGCGAUGGUUCAUUCAAAUUUCUUCCCUAUCAACUUUCGAUGUUUGGGUAUUGGCCAAACAUGGUCGCAACGGGUAACGGAGGGUUAGGGCUCGACCCCGGAGAAGGAGCCUGAGAAACGGCUACUACAUCCAAGGAAGGCAGCAGGCGCGCAAAUUACCCAAUCCCGAUUCGGGGAGGUAGUGACAAUAAAUACUGAUACAGGGCUCUUUUGGGUCUUGUAAUUGGAAUGAGUACAAUUUAAAUCCCUUAACGAGGAACAAUUGGAGGGCAAGUCUGGUGCCAGCAGCCGCGGUAAUUCCAGCUCCAAUAGCGUAUAUUAAAGUUGUUGUGGUUAAAAAGCUCGUAGUUGAACCUUGGGCCUGGCUGGCCGGUCCGCCUCACCGCGUGUACUGGUCCGGCCGGGCCUUUCCCUCUGUGGAACCUCAUGCCCUUCACUGGGUGUGGCGGGGAAACAGGACUUUUACUUUGAAAAA